rnacentral:tRNA from 1 species
GCUUUCAAAGGACAGCAGAAGUCCACUAAUUUUAGGCAUUAGCACCCCUUGGUGCAAGUCCAAGUGAAAACA